GAUGAACGCUGGCGGCGUGCCUAAUACAUGCAAGUCGAGCGAACAGACGAGGAGCUUGCUCCUCUGACGUUAGCGGCGGACGGGUGAGUAACACGUGGAUAACCUACCUAUAAGACUGGGAUAACUUCGGGAAACCGGAGCUAAUACCGGAUAACAUGUUGAACCGCAUGGUUCAACAGUGAAAGACGGUCUUGCUGUCACUUAUAGAUGGAUCCGCGCCGCAUUAGCUAGUUGGUAAGGUAACGGCUUACCAAGGCAACGAUGCGUAGCCGACCUGAGAGGGUGAUCGGACACACUGGAACUGAGACACGGUCCAGACUCCUACGGGAGGCAGCAGUAGGGAAUCUUCCGCAAUGGGCGAAAGCCUGACGGAGCAACGCCGCGUGAGUGAUGAAGGUCUUCGGAUCGUAAAACUCUGUUAUUAGGGAAGAACAAAUGUGUAAGUAACUAUGCACGUCUUGACGGUACCUAAUCAGAAAGCCACGGCUAACUACGUG
rnacentral:rRNA from 1 species